rnacentral:rRNA from 1 species
GUGGGGAAUUUUGGACAAUGGGCGCAAGCCUGAUCCAGCAAUGCCGCGUGCAGGAAGAAGGCCUUCGGGUUGUAAACUGCUUUUGUACGGAACGAAACGGUCCGGGUUAAUACCCUGGGCUAAUGACGGUACCGUAAGAAUAAGCACCGGCUAACUACGUGCCAGCAGCCGCGGUAAUACGUAGGGUGCAAGCGUUAAUCGGAAUUACUGGGCGUAAAGCGUGAGCAGGCGGUUUUGUAAGACAGGCGUGAAAUCCCCGGGCUCAACCUGGGAAUUGCGCUUGUGACUGCAAGGCUGGAGUGCGGCAGAGGGGGAUGGAAUUCCGCGUGUAGCAGUGAAAUGCGUAGAUAUGCGGAGGAACACCGAUGGCGAAGGCAAUCCCCUGGGCCUGCACUGACGCUCAUGCACGAAAGCGUGGGGAGCAAACAGGAUUAGAAACCCUAGUAGUCC